AAAGUAUCCCCUCCGUCCCAAAAUUCUUGUCUUAGAUUUGUCUAGAUACGGAUGUAUCAAGUCACAUUUUAGUAUUAGAUACAUCCGUAUCUAGACAAAUCUAAGACAAGAAAUUUGGGACAGAGGGAGUAGUUG
rfam:Triticum aestivum genome assembly, contig: Triticum_aestivum_CS42_TGACv1_scaffold_434480_5DL